rnacentral:tRNA from 1 species
UGGGGAGUCGCCAAGUGGUAAGGCAUCGGGUUUUGGUCCCGACACUCGUGGGUUCGAAUCCUACCUCCCCAG